CAGCAGUAGCCACGGUAACACGAAGGGUGCAAGCGUUACUCGGAAUUACUGGGCGUAAAGCGUGCGUAGGUGGUGGUUUAAGUCCGUUGUGAAAGCCCUGGGCUCAACCUGGGGAUUGCAGUGGAUACUGGGUCACUAGAGUGUGGUAGAGGAUAGUGGAAUUUCUGGUGUAGCGGUGUAAUGCGUAGAGAUCUGGAGGAAUACCGGUGGCGAAGGCGGCCCCCUGGACAAAGACUGACGCUCAGGUGCGAAAGCGUGGGGAGCAAACAGGAUUAGAUACCCCAGUAGUCCCUGUCUCUUAUAC
rnacentral:rRNA from 1 species